rnacentral:misc_RNA from 1 species
GAUGAAGAACGCAGCGAAAUGCGAUACGUAAUGUGAAUUGCAAAUUCAGUGAAUCAUCGAGUCUUUGAACGCACAUUGCGCCCCCUGGUAUUCCGGGGGGCAUGCCUGUCCGAGCGUCAUUGCUGCCCUCAAGCACGGCUUGUGUGUUGGGCCCCGUCCUCCGAUCCCGGGGGACGGGCCCGAAAGGCAGCGGCGGCACCGCGUCCGGUCCUCGAGCGUAUGGGGCUUUGUCACCCCCUCUGUAGGCCCGGCCGGCGCUUGCCGAUCAACCCAAAUUUUUAUCCAGGUUGACCUCGGAUCAGGUAGGGAUACCCGCUGAACUUAAGCAUAUCAAUAAGCGGAGGA